rnacentral:rRNA from 1 species
CCUACGGGUGGCAGCAGUGAGGAAUAUUGGUCAAUGGACGGAAGUCUGAACCAGCCAUGCCGCGUGCAGGAUGACGGCUCUAUGAGUUGUAAACCGCUUUUGUACGGGAAUAACAGUUCCUACGUGUAGGGAUUUGAAUGUAUCGUACGAAUAAGGAUCGGCUAACUCCGUGCCAGCAGCCGCGGUAAUACGGAGGAUUCGAGCGUUAUCCGGAUUUAUUGGGGUUAAAGGGUGCGUAGGCUGUUGGAUCAGUUAGAGGUCAAAUGUCGGGGCUUAACCCCGGGCCUGCCUCUGAUAAUGGUCGACUAGAGAGCGGAUGAAGCAGGCGGAAUGAGUAGUGUAGCGGUGAAAUGCUUAGAUAUUACUCAGAACACCGAUUGCGCAGGCAGCUUGCUAAUCCGCAUCUGACGCUGAUGCACGAAAGCGUGGGUAUCGAACAGGAUUAGAUACCCGUGUAGUC